rnacentral:rRNA from 1 species
UACGUAGGGUGCGAGCGUUGUCCGGAAUUACUGGGCGUAAAGAGCUCGUAGGUGGUUUGUCGCGUUGUUCGUGAAAUCUCACGGCUUAACUGUGAGCGUGCGGGCGAUACGGGCAGACUUGAGUACUGCAGGGGAGACUGGAAUUCCUGGUGUAGCGGUGGAAUGCGCAGAUAUCAGGAGGAACACCAGUGGCGAAGGCGGCUCACUGGACCGGAACUGACGCUGAGGCGCGAAAGCGUGGGGAGCAAACAGG